GAUGAACGCUGGCGGCGUGCCUAAUACAUGCAAGUCGAGCGAACAGAUAAGGAGCUUGCUCCUUUGAAGUUAGCGGCGGACGGGUGAGUAACACGUGGGUAACCUACCUAUAAGACUGGGAUAACUUCGGGAAACCGGAGCUAAUACCGGAUAACAUUUAGAGCCGCAUGGUUCUAAAGUGAAAGAUGGUUUUGCUAUCACUUAUAGAUGGACCCGCGCCGUAUUAGCUAGUUGGUAAGGUAACGGCUUACCAAGGCGACGAUACGUAGCCGACCUGAGAGGGUGAUCGGCCACACUGGAACUGAGACACGGUCCAGACUCCUACGGGAGGCAGCAGUAGGGAAUCUUCCGCAAUGGGCGAAAGCCUGACGGAGCAACGCCGCGUGAGUGAUGAAGGGUUUCGGCUCGUAAAACUCUGUUAUUAGGGAAGAACAAAUGUGUAAGUAACUGUGCACAUCUUGACGGUACCUAAUCAGAAAGCCACGGCUAACUACGUG
rnacentral:rRNA from 1 species